AGCUUGGACCGAGAGGGGCGCCUCGGCCAGGUUGGAGGCUUGGGGACAGAGCAGGAGCUCUGGUGUGGACAGGUCCAGCUUCAGCUGUCUACCGGACUUCCAGCUGGAGAUGUCUGAAGGGCAGUUGGAGAUGAGAGACUGGAGAAACAUGGUUCUGAAAAGGGGCCAACAGGCUUCUCCAGACUGACUGACCCAGAAAAGUUAAGACCUCCCUCUGUCCCAGAAAGAUGCUUUGGGCGCUGACCACGGUAAGGAAGGACAAGGAAGGAUCCUGGCACAGAGUGCUGUUCAAUAAAUCUUGGCAUGUGC